GACGAACGCUGGCGGCGUGCUUAACACAUGCAAGUCGAACGAAGUGGCGAACGGGUGAGUAACGCGUAAUCAACCUGCCCUUCAACGGGGGACAACAGUUGGAAACGACUGCUAAUACCGCAUACUGAAGGUGGGGAUUGCGUCUGAUUGGCUAGUUGGGGGGGUAACGGCCCACCAAGGCGAUGAUCAGUAGCCCGUCUGGGAGGGGGAACGGCCACAUUGGGAAUGGGACACGGCCCAGACUCCUACGGGAGGCAGCAGUGGGGAAAUUUCCGCAAUGGACGAAAGUCUGACGGAGCAACGCCGCGGGAGUGAUGACGGCCUUCGGGUUGGAAAGCUCUGUUAAUCGGGACGCGGUACCGGAAUAGAAAGCCACGGCUAACUACGUGCCAGCAGCCGCGGUAAUUC
rnacentral:rRNA from 1 species